UACGAAGGGGGCUAGCGUUGUUCGGAAUUACUGGGCGUAAAGCGCGCGCAGGCGGUCUUCCAAGUCAGUGGUGAAAGCCCCGGAGCUCAACUCCGGAACUGCCAUUGAAACUGUUAGACUUGAGGAUGAGAGAGGUGAGUGGAAUUCCGAGUGUAGAGGUGAAAUUCGUAGAUAUUCGGAAGAACACCAGUGGCGAAGGCGGCUCACUGGCCCGUUACUGACGCUCAGGCGCGACAGCGUGGGGAGCAAACAGG
rnacentral:rRNA from 1 species